GGGGUUGUGGCUCAGUGGUAGAGUGCUCGCCUAGCACGUGUGAGGCCCUGGGUUCGAUCCUCAGUACCACA
rnacentral:tRNA from 1 species